rnacentral:rRNA from 1 species
UACGUAGGGGGCUAGCGUUGUCCGGAAUCAUUGGGCGUAAAGCGCGCGUAGGCGGUCAGGUAAGUCCGGUGUGAAAGUCAAAGGCUCAACCUUUGAAUGCCGCUGGAUACUGCUUGACUUGAGUCCGGAAGGGGCGAGUGGAAUUCCUGGUGUAGCGGUGAAAUGCGCAGAUAUCAGGAGGAACACCGAUGGCGAAGGCAGCUCGCUGGGACGGUACUGACGCUGAGACGCGAAAGCGUGGGGAGCGAACAGG